GGCUCUGUAGUGAAGUUCAUGUUGAGUUGCAAGCUCAUCGAUAUGCGCUUAGGGUGCAUCAGAGNNUCU
rnacentral:tRNA from 1 species